CACGUAGUUAGCCGGUGCUUAUUCUUCAGGUACCGUCAUUACCCCAGGGUAUUAGCCCAGAGCGUUUCUUCCCUGACAAAAGCGGUUUACAACCCGAAGGCCUUCUUCCCGCACGCGGCAUGGCUGGAUCAGGCUUGCGCCCAUUGUCCAAAAUUCCCCACUGCUGCCUCCCGUAGGAGUCUGGGCCGUGUCUCAGUCCCAGUGUGGCUGGUCGUCCUCUCAGACCAGCUACAGAUCGUCGCCUUGGUAGGCCUUACCCCACCAACUAGCUAAUCUGACAUCGGCCGCUCCAAAAGCGCGAGGUCUUGCGAUCCCCCGCUUUCACCCUCAGGUCUCAUGCGGUAUUAAUCCGGCUUUCGCCGGGCUAUCCCCCACUUCUGGGCACGUUCCGAUGCAUUACUCACCCGUUCGCCACUCGUCGCCAGGUUGCCCCGCGUUACCGUUCGACUUGCAUGUGUAAGGCAUGCCGCCAGCGUUCAAUCUGAGCCAGGAUCAAACUCU
rnacentral:rRNA from 1 species